ACACGGGUUGAGGUGAGCAUGCUCAGCCAGCCUGCUCAAACGUCAAUGCGCUGCCACCCUGCGCAUAUUUUGUUCCCAAUUCCGAGCGUUCCUGCGGCAGAAGAUCGCAACUCACUCAAAACAAAAGCUGGUGUUCAAUACUGGUUUAACAUUUCAACAUUUAGGAAGCUUUUACAUUUUUAAAAGUUGUGGACAAUAUGGAAGCAGAGAGCUCAGAGAUGGGACAGGUAGACACCGAAGAGGUAGACUUAGGUAGUCAAGAAGCAGUUUUAGAAGACUUUACCAGGAAAUCCUUAGACGGUGAUACAGUACCACCACCAACAAUGACUUAUGGUCGUUUAGUGGAGAGCAACAAGUCUUAGUUGAACAGGUCUGGUCUAUCCAGACAUACCUUGGGAAGAAUUUUAGCCUCGGUGGCUUCUCAGCUGGACUAUAUUGAAAACACAUUUGCUGUAGAGACUAUGUUAUUCACACACAGACCCACUCCAACAAAUUUCCGUUUCACAUCAGUUGCACUGGGAAAAAACUACAAGAAACUGCUUGGAUCUGAAACCGGGAAGAAGAUGCAGGAUGUGAUUCGGGAAGCAGGCAAAAGAUUCCCCAGACCUGACCCAGAAAAACAUUUGGGCUAUAAGAAUAUCUUAGUUAAAGCAGGAAAGCAGCUCCAAGUAGAAGAGGAGAAGUAAGGGAUCUUACCGCUUGUUCCUACCAACAAGAAGAACUACCUGACCAGUCCGUCUUAGAAGAAGUAAUAAGGAGUCCUACCGGUUGUUCUUACCACCAAGAGACCGAUCAAGAGAACGAGCAUUCGCAGAAUUUUCAUACUUCCACUAUUGAGAAUAGUAGCAUAGCCAAAUGCUCCAACUAUCUAUAAGAGUCAAAUCUUGAAGACUAUUUAGUUGAUCCGUCUUCAGUCAAUGAAAAGGCGACAUCGCUGGAAGUAACUUCACUCGAAUCUAGGCACUCUUUAAAUAACUAUAACAAGACGAUGGAUCCUACUGCAUUUUCUGGCGCAAUUACGAGCGAUUGUACUAAUUUGUUGUCUAGUAACGUCUGUACAAUCUGGUAAUGAAUCGUAAUUAAUGCUGUUUUUGUCCUCUCUGAAACCUGUCUGAACUGUACAAUAAGGGCAAAUAAAGAAUAAAAUACCGUGGAAAUAAAACGAGUGAUAUUUUUGUAUUUAUUUGUAAUUGCGUUCGAAUAUUUUUUCGUAAUUACUAGUUAAAUUUACUAAAUUUGUAGUAAGCAAUAGUCAAAUAGUAAUUAUAGUCAGAGUAUUUCAAUGAAAUU